AAUUAUUCUAUCAGUCAAUACAGAGUCAACAAUUUCCUUCAGUGCCCAGCAGAAUUACAAACACCUAAACCUGUUUUUAACAGGCAUGAAGAAGCAGAACCUACCAUGGAUUUUCUGCACAGAAAAAAGGUGUGAAUUUCCACCUGAGCAUCCCUCUCCAGCACAGCAAGCAGGACACUGAGCAUUUCUGUGCUCCAUUAAUCCCACAGCAGCAGCAGGCUGGGGGCCAGGCACUGUUUGUGGUUUGGUGCCACUGGGAAAACGUGGAAUGAGUGUCUGCUGUCCUUUCCCCACUCCUGCUCCCUGCAAAAGAACAUCAAGCUGGUUGUUUUUCUUUCCUACCUGGUGAAACGAGCUGACGUGAUUUGGGAAAUGACAUCCAGCUGAAAGGCAAUAGGAUGAACAGAGCUGGCUGCAGUUCUACAUAGAAUAAACUGCAUGAAUGGAGGGGAUGUGGUUUUCCCCCCUCUGCUCCAGCUAACACCAAGGAAGAGAAUGCAACAAUCUGCAUGGAAUAGCUUUGGACUGAUCUACAAAGAACAAAAUAAUAUUUCAUAAUAAUGUUCCAAAUGUUAAAGAAUUUUUCCUGCCAAAACCUCUCUUCUGUAAGUGCCCCAGCAUCAUCAACUGAUGGCAGCACAGCUCUGGGAAUAAACACUUUCAGCUAAUGGCAGGAAUUGUCAGGGGAAACACGAAACAGGUAUUUCUCCCUGACACAGAAUGAAACAUAUGAUUAAAGUUAAAUGCCAAAUCCUAGCAGCACUGGAGAGGAUUAAGGUUUAUUUUUCAUUCCUGGUA
rnacentral:lncRNA from 1 species